GCCUGGCUGGCUCUGUCGUAGAGCGUGAGACUCUUAAUCUCAAGGUGGUGAGUUCAAACCCCUCUCUGGGCG
rnacentral:tRNA from 1 species